rnacentral:ncRNA from 1 species
AAUUAAGGACCGGGGAGCCAAUUGGCUGAGAGGAUGUGAGCAAACAUCGACCCUCAACCUGAUCUGGAUAAUGCCAGCGUAGGGAGUUACUUAAAGUAAUGUA